GUCCCGAUUCGGGGACAACCGAUAAAAUUUGAAUGGCGCAGAGAAGAUUAGCAUUAUCCCUGUGCUGGGAUAACAAGCACAAAUCGAGAAAUGGUCCAAACUUUU